GACAGAGGAGCCAAGCGUUGUCCGGAUUGACUGGGCGUAAAGCGCACGCAGGCGGCUGGGCACGUGGGGUGUGAAACCUGGCGGCUUAACUGCCAGACGCCACCUCAUACGGCCCGGCUCGAGGCAGGCAGAGGUUCGUGGAAUUGCCGGUGUAGUGGUGAAAUGCGUAGAGAUCGGCAGGAACACCAAGGGCGAAAGCAGCGAACUGGGCCUGUUCUGACGCUCAGGUGCGAAAGCGUGGGGAGCGAACCGG
rnacentral:rRNA from 1 species